CGGUUUGAUCAUGGCUCAGAUUGAACGCUGGCGGCAUGCUUUACACAUGCAAGUCGAACGGGGUGAGGGGGCAACUUCUCAUUCAGUGGCGAACGGGUGAGUAAUGCAUCGGAACGUGUCCCGUAGUGGGGGAUAACGCCGCGAAAGCGGCGCUAAUACCGCAUACGCUCUACGGAGGAAAGCAGGGGACUCGCAAGGGCCUUGUGCUAGGGGAGCGGCCGAUGUCCGAUUAGCUAGUUGGUGGGGUAAUGGCCCACCAAGGCGACGAUCGGUAGCUGGUCUGAGAGGAUGAUCAGCCACACUGGGACUGAGACACGGCCCAGACUCCUACGGGAGGCAGCAGUGGGGAAUUUUGGACAAUGGGGGCAACCCUGAUCCAGCCAUGCCGCGUGCGGGAAGAAGGCCUUCGGGUUGUAAACCGCUUUUAGCCGGGAAGAAAAGCCUACGGAUAACACCCGUGGGUAUUGACGGUACCGGCGGAAUAAGCACCGGCUAACUACGUGCCAGCAGCCGCGGUAAUACGUAGGGUGCGAGCGUUAAUCGGAAUUACUGGGCGUAAAGCGUGCGCACGCGGUUCGUUGUGUC
rnacentral:rRNA from 1 species